rnacentral:rRNA from 1 species
GAUGAACGCUGGCGGCGUGCCUAAUACAUGCGAGUCGAGCGAACGGACGAGAAGCUUGCUUCUCUGAUGUUAGCGGCGGACGGGUGAGUAACACGUGGAUAACCUACCUAUAAGACUGGGAUAACUUCGGGAAACCGGAGCUAAUACCGGAUAAUAUUUUGAACCGCAUGGUUCAAAAGUGAAAGACGGUCUUGCUGUCACUUAUAGAUGGAUCCGCGCUGCAUUAGCUAGUUGGUAAGGUAACGGCUUACCAAGGCAACGAUGCAUAGCCGACCUGAGAGGGUGAUCGGCCACACUGGAACUGAGACACGGUCCAGACUCCUACGGGAGGCAGCAGUAGGGAAUCUUCCGCAAUGGGCGAAAGCCUGACGGAGCAACGCCGCGUGAGUGAUGAAGGUCUUCGGAUCGUAAAACUCUGUUAUUAGGGAAGAACAUAUGUGUAGGUAACUGUGCACAUCUUGACGGUACCUAAUCAGAAAGCCACGGCUAACUACGUG